GACGAACGCUGGCGGCGUGCCUAAUACAUGCAAGUCGAGCGAGACUCUUCGGAGUCCAGCGGCGGACGGGUGAGUAACACGUGGGCAACCUGCCUGUAAGACUGGGAUAACACCGGGAAACCGGUGCUAAUACCGGAUAAUCCUUUUCCUCUCAUGAGGAAAAGCUGAAAGUCGGUUUCGGCUGUCACUUACAGAUGGGCCCGCGGCGCAUUAGCUAGUUGGUGAGGUAACGGCUCACCAAGGCGACGAUGCGUAGCCGACCUGAGAGGGUGAUCGGCCACACUGGGACUGAGACACGGCCCAGACUCCUACGGGAGGCAGCAGUAGGGAAUCUUCCACAAUGGACGAAAGUCUGAUGGAGCAACGCCGCGUGAGCGAUGAAGGCCUUCGGGUCGUAAAGCUCUGUUGUUAGGGAAGAACAAGUACCGGAGUAACUGCCGGUACCUUGACGGUACCUAACCAGAAAGCCACGGCUAACUACGUGCCAGCAGCCGCGGUAACAC
rnacentral:rRNA from 1 species